GUGACGUUGGCAGAAGGAACGUGACAUGAUUGUAUUGUUGUUUGGGUUCGUUGACUACUGCGCACCUUGCGACGCCACACCAUUGACGUUGCUGAAGCGGUAGCUGCGUCGUAAUUUUCGAACUUGGGGGCCAUCAAAGCACAUACGCACAAAGUAGCUAUAGCAGUUCAUAAUUCAGCAGAAAUCCGCGUCAGUGCACUUGCACCGCAAAAGGAGCUGUUCCAACUUUCAGCUGUUCAACCAGAGACCUCUUCAAACUGGUGUACACGUAAUACAGCUAGCUAUCUAUUAAAAUAUGCAGACUACUAGUAGCUAGACUACGGUACGUAUAGUCACGUAGACAUAGAUUAACUUUUUAGUUCUUCAGGAACAUUGCAUGGGCUUACACGUAAUCUAUACCUUACAUUGUAUAUCUAUAGUAAACAUGCUUUCUAAGUAUAAAGUUUAUAAUAAACUCUGUCAAGCAUUUUUGCUGUUCUGCUGAAUACUGGCAGACAGACUGUGCUGUCUCUUUAUCUUUUGUAUUUGCUUCGGCGUCACAUACCUACUAACAGAAGGAGUUGUUUGAGUUGAUCUCCUACUAUUAAACACACUGGGGCGGCCAGGUUUGCAGGAACAGAGCUUGAAUUUUUCAUGUGUUUUUGUCUGCUGAGGGCUGUAGGCUGCACCCGAAUUCUUUGCCUGUGCUUUGUUAUCCCUGUAUGACUGCCAAAAGUGUGUAAUGCUGAAACCAAACGCUGCUGCUUGGUCGGUGGAUGUGUUGAUUUUCCUCGACAUUUCCAGUAGUUUUCACAAAACUUUUUAACAGCUGUCAGAUACCCAUCAUUAUUUGUCAUGUUGGGGGCAAGUCCAGUUUCUAGGUCAACCAUGACUUCAUUGAGACUUGUUUUGACUGUCUCGAUUGUCUGAUUCUUGUCUUCACCACUACUGGGUAUUUCAGUCUCCUUCAUGGUUGUUUUCUGCCUUUUCUGUUGGAACAGAUCAUCGUCCAGCAUGGCUGAUUCUUUGAAAGAAUGCCGUAUGUCUUCAUUAUGCCAUUGAAUAUCAACAGAGAGGGACUGCAAGUACUCUUCAUCUGACUUUUGGUGAAGACUGCUAUAGAAGCUAAUGGGUUGGCAAUCUUUUCCAAGAGCUACGCCUGCAAGGAGCUGGCGUCCUUUUGGGGAAUCAGUUGGAAUCUUGUUGAAUCUUUGGGGAAUCAGUUGGAAACGACACAACCAGUUGUUGCUGUCAGACCGUCUGUUCGUGCUUCUACCAACUUGGUUCAAGCACAGGACACGAAGACGCCAAAUUUUCUUGGAGUUGUAAAGGAAGGGAUGACGUCUCUAUCAGCCCAGUCAGACAACAAAGGAACAUCAAAUUUGACUGUUAGUGGGCAGAUACUCACACCAACAAAACCGAUAGAUUUGUUCUGCAAAAGGGAGGUAGGCAUCAACAGAGAACUAUUGAUCUUCUGAACAGACGAGACUGUGCUGCAUUUGACUCCCCAAAUGUCAAUACAGAAAGAGGAAUGAUCGUCAACGUUCCUGUAACGACCCAGUUCAGUUUCCCACACACAAGCACGAUGAUGCCUAGCAAGUCAGCUUGUAGAAACCUAUCUAGCCAACUUCCGGGAACUACUGAGUCAUCACCAGACAAAUCAAGACAACACCUACGCUGCAGGCUUCCUUUCUGGAAUUUACGACAAUCACGGGAUUCAUGAGUUUGCAGCAAUGCAUGAAGCCAAAGAAAUUGCAUUUCAGGUACUGACUAUUAGUCAUAGAAGCUGGGAUAGUGGUGUACCAGUUUAAUUUAUUGUUUACCAAGUUUUAAAAGUACAUAUAGUCUGCUACUUAGAACAUUGCAUCGGUUUCUGUACGGUUGAGGAAAUGAAUGGUGUAGGGAGGGUACUGUAGAUACAUGUAGGUACAUUUGUGUGUCAAAACCUGAUACUCUUAGAGUCUAUGUCAUCAUCUAUUUGAUAGCUGUACAACAGAAACUUCAACAGCUACU